AGAGUUUGAUCCUGGCUCAGAGCGAACGUUAGCGGCGGGCCUAACACAUGCAAGUCGAGCGAGAAAGUGGCUUCGGCCAUCAGUAAAGCGGCGGACGGGUGAGUAACACGUAGGUAAUCUUCCCUUGAGCGGGGGACAACGAGCCGAAAGGCUCGCUAAUACCGCAUAAGUUCUUCGGGACUCCGGUCCUGGAGAGGAAAGCUAGGCAGCAAUGUCCGGCACUCGAGGAGGAGCCUNNGUCCAUCAGCUAGUUGGUGGGGUACGGCCUACCAAGGCGAAGCGCGUAGCUGGUCUGAGAGGAUGAUCAGCCACACUGGGACUGAGACCGGCCCAGACUCCUACGGGAGGCAGCAGUGGGGAAUAUUGGACAAUGGGCGCAAGCCUGAUCCAGCCACGCCGCGUGAGUGAUGAAGGCCUUCGGGUCGUAAAGCUCUGUGGGGAGGGACGAACCCUGCACGUUCAUAUCGUGCAGCAUGACGGUACCUCCUUAGCAAGCACCGGCUACUUCGUGCCAGCAGCCGCGGUAAUACGAAGGGUGCAAACGUUGCUCGGAAUUAUUGGGCGUAAAGCGCACGUAGGCGGCAUUGCAAGUCGGAUGUGAAAUCCCUCGGCUUAACCAAGGAACUGCAUCCGAAACUGCAGUGCUUGAGUACUUAAGAGGAUCGCGGAAUUCCCGGUGUAGAGGUGAAAUUCGUAGAUAUCGGGAGGAACACCAGUGGCGAAGGCGGCGAUCUGGGAAGAUACUGACGCUGAGGUGCGAAAGCGUGGGGACAAGCAGGAUUAGAUACCCUCGUAGUCC
rnacentral:rRNA from 1 species